rnacentral:rRNA from 1 species
ACGCUCGACACCUACGGGUGGCAGCAGUAGGGAAUCUUCCACAAUGGACGCAAGUCUGAUGGAGCAACGCCGCGUGAGUGAAGAAGGUUUUCGGAUCGUAAAGCUCUGUUGUUGGUGAAGAAGGAUAGAGGUAGUAACUGGCCUUUAUUUGACGGUAAUCAACCAGAAAGUCACGGCUAACUACGUGCCAGUAGCCGCGGUAAUCUGAGCGGGCUGGCAAGGC